AACGCGGCCCCUGCAUACAUGUGCGAGCUUUGGCUGAUUAUGCAUGGGAAUAUGCGAUCGCAUAAUCACGUUUUUCUGGAGGGACUGUUCUUAUACCCCGCUACUGCAAAA